UGCCUCUAAUCUAAAUCUAGCUA
rnacentral:siRNA from 1 species